GAUUAAGUUAUUAAGGGCGCACGGUGGAUGCCUUGGCACUAGAAGCCGAUGAAGGACGUUACUAACGACGAUAUGCUUUGGGGAGCUGUAAGUAAGCUUUGAUCCAGAGAUUUCCGAAUGGGGAAACCCAGCAUGAGUUAUGUCAUGUUAUCGAUAUGUGAAUACAUAGCAUAUCAGAAGGCACACCCGGAGAACUGAAACAUCUUAGUACCCGGAGGAAGAGAAAGAAAAUUCGAUUCCCUUAGUAGCGGCGAGCGAAACGGGAAGAGCCCAAACCAACAAGCUUGCUUGUUGGGGUUGUAGGACACUCUAUACGGAGUUACAAAGGACGACAUUAGACGAAUCAUCUGGAAAGAUGAAUCAAAGAAGGUAAUAAUCCUGUAGUCGAAAAUGUUGUCUCUCUUGAGUGGAUCCUGAGUACGACGGAGCACGUGAAAUUCCGUCGGAAUCUGGGAGGACCAUCUCCUAAGGCUAAAUACUCUCUAGUGACCGAUAGUGAACCAGUACCGUGAGGGAAAGGUGAAAAGCACCCCGGAAGGGGAGUGAAAUAGAACCUGAAACCGUGUGCUUACAAGUAGUCAGAGCCCGUUAAUGGGUGAUGGCGUGCCUUUUGUAGAAUGAACCGGCGAGUUACGAUUUGAUGCAAGGUUAAGCAGUAAAUGUGGAGCCGUAGCGAAAGCGAGUCUGAAUAGGGCGUUUAGUAUUUGGUCGUAGACCCGAAACCAGGUGAUCUACCCUUGGUCAGGUUGAAGUUCAGGUAACACUGAAUGGAGGACCGAACCGACUUACGUUGAAAAGUGAGCGGAUGAACUGAGGGUAGCGGAGAAAUUCCAAUCGAACCUGGAGAUAGCUGGUUCUCUCCGAAAUAGCUUUAGGGCUAGCCUCAAGUGAUGAUUAUUGGAGGUAGAGCACUGUUUGGACGAGGGGCCCCUCUCGGGUUACCGAAUUCAGACAAACUCCGAAUGCCAAUUAAUUUAACUUGGGAGUCAGAACAUGGGUGAUAAGGUCCGUGUUCGAAAGGGAAACAGCCCAGACCACCAGCUAAGGUCCCAAAAUAUAUGUUAAGUGGAAAAGGAUGUGGCGUUGCCCAGACAACUAGGAUGUUGGCUUAGAAGCAGCCAUCAUUUAAAGAGUGCGUAAUAGCUCACUAGUCGAGUGACACUGCGCCGAAAAUGUACCGGGGCUAAACAUAUUACCGAAGCUGUGGAU
rnacentral:rRNA from 1 species